ensembl:lncRNA CCDC26 CCDC26 long non-coding RNA
UGGAGAGGAUUGCAUUUGAAAGACAGACACAACACUCAAACCCUUAGGUCCUGAGUACAGCGGAGUGAAAGGCCUUUUAAAGGACCAUGGGCUGUUUGAGGGGCCAACAUCAUUAACUGGGGCACAUGUGCAGGAUGUGCAGGUUUGUUACACAGGUAAAUGUGUGCCAUGGUGGUUUACUGCACAGAUCAUCCCAUUACCCAGCAAACUUGGAAAUCAUGUCUUAGAGAUCAAGGAGCCAAGAGAUGAGACAAGCCUGGGUUCCUAGGUGAUAGGGUGUGGCUGUGUCCCCACCCAAAUCUCGUCUUGAAUUGUAGCUCCCAUAAUCCCCACAUGUUGUGGAGGGACCCUGUGGAAGAUCUUUAAUAAAUGAAAUAAAUGUGACUGUAUGUCCUACAUCCCAUUCCUGUUGUCUUCCAUGUCUCCUCAGAGAUUGUGCCUGCAGCCUGGCCUGUUGCCCACAGCGGUCUACCUGCCACACUGGGAAAGAUCGAGCAGAGACAGAGAAGAAAAGGAGGCUCCAUUUUUCAGGCUGCUCUCCCGCAGGCUCAUGUUUUGUGUUCAUGCCAGGCAGAGAACACAAAAUGUUCCAAUAAAUAAGUAUCAAAGGUUAGUGGUGAAAAUGAAGGAGGAGGAGGCAUUGCGUGAAAAACUAAACAUGCAAAAUAUUACACACAAAGAGAACCAAAAUGCAGGUUCACUGGAAAUGAUAGACAAUAUGUUAAAACAAGAGGAGAGAAGAGAGCUGAAAUAAUCAAAUGGAAACACACAAUUUAGGGCUAAGAUCUUGUUGUGUUCAGCCACAAAUGAUGGCCAGCAGUGAGGAAUCUGUGUGUUCUCCACACUCUUCGCUCCUGGGAAGUCAACUCACAUGGACCAUGAUAUCAAUAUCUGCUCCUUCCCCUAAUAUCUGUUUGACCUUGGGUCAGUUACUUAAACUUCCUAAGCCUUAGUUUCUUUGUCUGGAAAAUAGGGAUAGUUAUACCUACCACACAACCACUUUGUAAUGAAUAUGUUGGAAAUUAUAUGCAAAUUGGCUUCCGUUGGUGUUUGGAACAUAGUAGGUUUUUAACUGGAAUAUAAUAGCUACCAUUAUCAGUAUCAUCAUAUUAAUUUAUAUUUCCAUCUUCAGCCCUUAACCCAGGAUCUUCAGUAAAUGUUGAAUUCUCAAAUUUGUUAAAUUCACUUGUCUAUACUAAUAUUUUACUCUAGGUUUCUUAGAAUAUUCUAGAUAAUAUUAUUAUGUAGAAUAUGUUAUGUAAGCUUCAUCUUAUCUGUAAAUAUAGUUUUACUUUUUCCUUUCUAAUUUUUAUGUCGAUUACUUCUUUUUCUUGGCUUAUUGAAUUGGCUAGGAUUCCCGUACAGUGUUGAAUACGUGCAGCAAGACUGCACAUCUUGCCUUGUUCCUGGUCCCACAGAGAGAAUAUCCAGUACUUCACAAUAAGUAUGUGUUAAUUGUAGAUUUUAUUAGAUUGAGGAAGUUCCCUUUCCUUUCAAGUCAGUCUUUUUAUUUUAAACAUGUAUUGAAGUUUUGUCAAAUGUCUUCAUCUAUUGGAAUAAUUAUACAUAUCUCUUUUUUAUUCUGUUAAUAUUACAUUUCAAUCUUCUGUCUACCUAAAAUCCCUAGAAUAAUCUCCAUUUGGCUAUGAUGUGUUGUGCUUUUAUAUAUUACUGAAUUCUAUAUGCCAAUAUUAUUAAAAUUUUCUGUCUUUAUGAGAAA